GCGGGGCUGCGGCGGGAAGCGCGGGCGGGGCCGGCGGGCCGCAGUCCCCCGCCGGUCGCCAUGGCGGGCGCGGCGCCGGGCGAGCUGUGCGGCGGCUUGCUCGACUACAAGACGGUGAAGUUCGCGCAGACGCGGAACCGGCGGGUCGGGCUGUUGCACCGCCUGCUGCAGCUCGGCGUGCUGGGCUACCUGUUCGGGUGGGUGCUGCUGGUGCGGAAGGGCUACCAGGACACCGAUGGCGCCCCCCGUGCCGCCGUUGUCACCAAGGUGAAGGGGGCGGCCGUCGCCGAGGUGGGGGGCGCGGGCCGGCGGCUGUGGGACGCGGCGGACUACGCCCGGCCCCCGCAGGGAGAAAAUGUGUUUUUCCUGGUGACCAACUUCAUCGCUACAGCAAAGCAAGCCCAGGGCACCUGUCCUGAGAGCCCCACAGUUCUUGAUGCGAUAUGCACAGAAGAUGCAGACUGUCCCAAGGGAAACCCAGUGAUUCAUGGCAACGGGAUAAAAACUGGGAGAUGUGUGAUGUUCAACACCACCCGUUCCACCUGUGAGAUCUAUGGCUGGUGUCCUGUGGAGAACAACACCCUGCCCAGGAAACCUCUUCUGGCUGAGGCGGAGAAUUUCACUCUUUUUAUAAAAAAUACUAUCCACUUCACCAAAUUUAACUUCUCCAAGUGCAAUACUUUGCAAACCAAUGACCCCACCUAUUUCAAGAGCUGCACGUACGAUCCGUUCUUCAACCCAUCCUGCCCCAUCUUCCGUGUCCGUGACAUGGUGGAGGCAGCUGGAGAGACCUUUGGAGACCUCGCACUGCUGGGGGGCAGCAUUGGAGUUCGCAUAGAAUGGGACUGCAAUCUGGAUCAGCCCACUGCCCAGUGCCAGCCGCAGUACUCCUUCAGCCUGCAGGACAGGAUGUACAACUUCAGAACUGCCUCCUACUACUGGGACUCGCAGCGGCAGCUCUACCGGAACCUCCUGAAGCUCUACGGCAUCCGCUUUGACAUCUCCGUGCACGGCCAGGCUGGGAAGUUCAGCAUAAUUCCUGCUGCUGUGAGCUUCGGCACUGGCAUCGCAUUCUUUGGUGCCGCCACAGUGGUCUGUGACCUGGUUCUGCUCUACCUGGAUGCGAAGGCUGACUUCUAUUGGAAGGAGAAGUUUGAGGAGGUAAGGAUGGGGCUGCUCUAGAGAGCUGAGGUUCAAGUGAAGCUUGCAAGUGGAUUUAUUUUCUGCCCCUUGGUUAAAACUUGAUUUGCAAGAUCUGGGAAAACUCCAGUAGAGUUGUUCUUAAUCUCUGACUCUUGGGCUUGGUGGCUGGUCUGAACUGAACCUGACAGAGAUCAAACUCUUGCAAGUUUAGUGACAACAGGCGGCUGAGUUGAAGAGGGGCCCAGCUGGUGCCCAGACUGCAGGGAAAGCUGCACAACCUCAACUACUGUCAGAGAACAAGGAGUCCCUGAGGGGACUUUACUUUAGAAACCUGGCCCAGCCCCACAUGUAUUCACCCUCUUCUGAACUGUCUGGCCAAGCUCUGUGUGGAGGGAGGGCGGCUCUUCAGAUGCUGUGGGCAAAACCCCCUAAAGGUAAGGCGGAAGCUGCAGCUUAGGGACACCAGGAAUGCUCUGCCCAAAGCACCCUUCACUCUGGAGC